GCCUCCUGAGGGCUGCCCCCCGCUGCGUGGACACAGCGGCGGAGAGCCCAGGACCUGCCAGGGCUGUUUCUCUGCCAGGUCACACAAGGGAGAGCUUCCAAGGCUCGUGCUGGGCACCCACACCCCGUGCUCUGCGCUCAGAUGCUCGCGAUGCCCAAGAGGGAAACGCCCCAAGAACCCCAGAGAGGCCAAUGCACAGGGGAGAUUCUAGAAGGAGACAACUCACAGGAAGACCUCAGCAGGCCUGUGCCCACCGGAGGGACGGAGUGAGCGCUGGGGGGCCUGGGCUGGAGGACUUUGGCCUUCACCGAGACCAUGUCCACGAGGGCAGCGGUGGACAUGGACUGACUGGCAUUCUGGGAGGAAACCAAAAGGACAACAUGGCAGAGGCAGCGGGUGGGGGUGCAGCGGUCCCAUUAAUGAGCCCUGUGCACGGCCCUGAUCCCGGGGAGGGCUCCACUGUGCCCGCUGCGCCUCGGUAGUGGAGGUGCCAAGGGAGAACCACACGAAUCCAGUGCUGGGUGGACACCACUGAAUGCCCCCCAGAAGGAACAGUGAGCAGCGGGUCUCCCGGCGGCUGGCAGCUCAGGGGGAGUGACAGCGUGUGUGGGACAGUGUGGGACAGUGGCACAUGAAGCGUGCGCCAAGCAGAACAAAGAAGCUCAUUUGGUACCUGUGCCGGAGAGACACUCCCACAUGAGGUUGAGCCUUGGGGAUGAGGAAGCCAGAGGUUUGGGGGAGUCAGUGCCUUCUGCGGGUCAGAACCAGCCCAGAGCCAGCCCUGCCUGCAGAAGCCCCACCGCAGGACCGUCCCGCAGGCCCCCCAGGGGAGCCCUGGAUUGCUGCACUCACAGCCUCUCAGAGCCAGCAGCCUUGACCCAGAUCCCAGCUGCAUCCUGCGACUGAGCAGUUUCUUCACAAGCCUCAUAUACAUUUCCUUGAAUUUGUAUAUAUACGGGAGACUUCACAAGAGAAAGAAGACCAGAGCAGGAAACUUUAUACGUUGCAAAGCAAGAGCUGUUCAGUGUUGAAGAAUUGAGAAGACAAAGGUAUUUGGGCUGGAGGUGGUAAUGGUGAAGAAGUAAUUAGGAAGAUAAGAAGUUAGUUUAAUAAGGUUCACUUAUGCAUAUUUCUCCACCAUAAAUUCCUUAUUUCUGGUGAUAAGAUUGUCUGUCUUCCUUCAUGGGAGUUUUAUGACUUGUUUCGGGGGAAAGGGCAAGAAGGGAGGUCAGGGUGACCCCGCUUCAGCCAAGACGGUCAAUAGGCCACAGCAGUAUUCGGGAGUAUCAGCCUGAAUGGUGUCUGUCUGACUACCCAUCCACCCACUCCAUUGCUAUUAUUUCUUUUUUACAAGAUUGAUUUACUUAUGCGUACAGAACUGGGGUACAGGACAGAGGUGG